UAAGCAGAUAGUGAAAUUGUGUGGCUCAACCAUACACCCAUUAUCUGAACUGCUAAGCUAGAGGGCGAGAGAGGUUACUAGAAUUCCUUGUGUAGGAGUGAAAUCCGUAGAUAUAAGGAGGAAUACCGAUGGCGUAGGCAGGUAACUGGCUCGUCCCUGACACUAAGGCACGAAAGCGUGGGAGCGACCGGGAUUAGAUACCCCGUUAGUCCACGCCGUAAACGAUGGAUGCUA
rnacentral:rRNA from 1 species